rnacentral:rRNA from 1 species
AGUGAACGCUGGCGGCGUGCCUAAUACAUGCAAGUCGAACGGAGCGGCGCACGGGUGAGUAAUGUAUAGCUAAUCAGCUCUACACUAGAGGACAAUAGUUGGAAACGACUGCUAAUACUCUAUAGUGUCGGUUGAGGCUAUAUUGUCUCAGCUAGUUGGUUAGGUAAUGGCUCUCCAAGCCUAUGACGAAUAACUGGUCUGAGAGGAUGAUCAGUAAAACCGGACUGGAGGCACGAGCCGGACACAUUCGGGAGUGGGCAGUAGGGAAUAGCGCCCAUGGGGGGAAAACCUGAAGCGGCAUCGCGGCGUGGAGGAUUACACUUUGCGAAGCGUAAACUCCGGUUGAUAGGGAAGCGGUACCUAAAGAAGAAGCACCGGCUAACUCCGUGCCAGCAGCCGCGGUAAUAC